UGAGCUAAUUGGAGGGCCUUCUGUUCUCUACCUGUAUCGAAUCGUCUCGGUGCGCCUCGGGUUGUGCUUCACGCCACACGGGACACAAGCAGCAGCUGUCUGGUGCUGGAGGGUCUGUGCUGGGCCCGCCACACUCACCACGGAGUUUCAAGGUUCUUCGCAUUUUUUUCCUUAAUUAGUCUUUACGAGAGUUGCAGAGAACGAUGGGCUCCAAUGACGGUUCACCUGCUGCGCGCCAAACCAGUCCAGGACGCACCGACAGCACACUACGUGGAGUUACACAAAAGUAUCUUACAAAUAACAGACGGAGUGAGAUUCUUGGCGCUGUCGUAGCCGUCACUGGAUAAUCACUAGAGCUGCCACCGCCGCCAUCACCGAUACCUUCAUCACAGCAUGUUCUCAAAUUAUAAUGAUCAGAAAGGCUACCAAAUAACAUGCACGAGUCUCAUCCUGCACACAACUGGUUCUCAACACGUGAUGGCAGUUGCUUUGGACAAAACAAAUUAA